GGCUGUAUCUCAGUGGCAGAGCGCUUGCCUAGCACGUGUGAGGCACUGGGUUCAAUCCUCAGCACCA
rnacentral:tRNA from 1 species